CUUGAAUUGUUCACUCACAAGGAAGGCAGUGGCCACUUAGGUAGCCCCAGGAGAGGCUUGUGUGAAGAGGAAAUAAGACCCACCAACCACCAGCACCAAUUUGCCAAUUAUGCUUCUUUGUUUCCAGUCUUCCAGUGUUGUUGCCUCCCAUCUCUGGAUUCAACCAGCUAAGCCAUUCACCACCAUGCAGGAGACUUUAUAUAUCUGUACCUCAGUCUGUAUCUGCCUUUAAAUAAGAUGAAUAGCUGAGUGAAGUCCUUAGCACCACAAGGCCCCUGGAUCACAUGACAUGAGGCUGCCACUGAUCACCACAGCCAUUGCUAAAGUAAAAGAGAGCCAAGAAAAAAAAAAAAAAAAAAGCCAAGAGGAUAUAAGGUGGCAC